CGGGGUUAGGACUGCAACAUGUAACUUUAAUCUUUAACUGAAUGCUUUGGGAAGAGCAGCGAAACAGGGUGACAGCCCCGUAAGUGAAAGAGAUUGAGUGCUAGCAGUAUCCAGAGUACCAGCGGACACGUGAAACCCGCUGGGAAGAUGGGGGGACCAUCCUCCAAGCCUAAAUACUACUCAGUGACCGAUAGUGGAGCAGUACCGUGAGGGAAAGGUGAAAAGUACCCCGGGAGGGGAGUGAAAGAGAACCUGAAACCUUGUGCCUACAAGCACCGAGAGCACGUUAAAGUGUGAUCGGGUACUUUUUGUAGAACGGUCCGGCGAGUUAAUAUUUGCAGCGAGGUUAAGUAACUGGAGUUACGGAGCCGCAGCGAGAGCGAGUCUGAAUAGGGCGUAUGAAGUUGCAGGUAUUAGACCCGAAACCGGGUGACCUAUCCAUGAGCAGGCUGAAGCGGUGGUAAGACACCGUGGAGGGCCGCACCCACGUCUGUUGAAAAAGCCGGGGAUGACUUGUGGAUAGCGGAGAAAUUCCAAUCGAACUCGGAGAUAGCUGGUUCUCCCCGAAAUAGCUUUAGGGCUAGCGUUAUUUUAGAUUACCGGAGGUAAAGCACUGAAUGGUCUAGGGGCCGCGAGGUUACCAAAGCCUAUCAAACUCUGAAUGCCGGAUAAUUGAUGAAUAGCAGUCAGACUGUGUGAGAUAAGUCUCAUAGUCAAAAGGGAAACAGCCCAGAUCUACAGCUAAGGUCCCAAAUGAACACUAAGUGGAAAAUGAUGUGAAACUGCGAAGACAACCAGGAUGUUGGCUUAGAAGCAGCCACUCAUUCAAAGAGUGCGUAAUAGCUCACUGGUCGAGUGGUUUUGCGCAGAAAAUGUAACGGGGCUAAGUGUUCAACCGAAGCUUAGGCAUUGCAGUAAUGCAUUGGGUAGGGGAGCGUCGUAUGCGGGGCGAAGUCAGAGCGGAAGCACUGGUGGACUGCAUACGAGUGAGAAUGCCGGAAUAAGUAGCGAGAAUUAUGUGAGAAUCAUAAUGGCCGAAAAUCUAAGGUUUCCUGGGGAAGGUUCGUCCGCCCAGGGUUAGUCGGGAGCUAAGCUCAGGCCGAAAGGCGUAGGCGAUGCACAUACGGUAGAAAUUCCGUAACCACCGAACUUUAAGCUAGAGGGACGCUUUCUUUAAGGUUAUCCCGGGCGAUGGUUGCCCCGGGCGUAAGGGACCGAAAUUUAGUAGGGAAGUAACUGGCGAGAGAGACGAGAAAAGCUCUAGUGUAUACUAAGGUGCCCGUACCGCAAACCGACACAGGUAGAAGGGAUGAGUAUUCUAAGGCCAACGGGAGAAGGGUUGUUAAGGAACUCGGCAAAUUGGCCCCGUAACUUCGGGAUAAGGGGCGCCUGCGAGAGCAGGCCGCAGUGAAAAGGCCCAAGCGACUGUUUAGCAAAAACACAGCUCUCUGCUAAAUCGAAAGAUGACGUAUAGGGGGUGACGCCUGCCCGGUGCUGGAAGGUUAAGGGGAGUGCUUAGCGCAAGCGAAGGUGCGAACUUAAGCCCCAGUAAACGGCGGCCGUAACUAUAACGGUCCUAAGGUAGCGAAAUUCCUUGUCAGGUAAGUUCUGACCCGCACGAAUGGCGUAACGAUUUGGGCACUGUCUCAACAGCCCGCCCGGCGAAAUUGUAGUACCGGUGAAGAUGCCGGUUUCCCGCAACUAGACGGAAAGACCCCAUGGAGCUUCACUGUAGCUUGAUAUUGGACUUCGGUAUUCCAUGUACAGGAUAGGUGGGAGGCUAGGAAGCGAGCGCGCCAGCGUUCGUGGAGCCGUCCUUGGGAUACCACUCUUGGGAUAUUGGAGUUCUAACCUGCGACCAUGAAUCUGGUCGGGGGACAUUGUCAGGUGGGCAGUUUGACUGGGGCGG
rnacentral:rRNA from 1 species